rnacentral:misc_RNA from 1 species
GAUGAAGAACGUAGUGAAAUGCGAUAAGUAAUGUGAAUUGCAGAAUUCAGUGAAUCAUCGAAUCUUUGAACGCACAUUGCGCCCGCCAGCAUUCUGUCGGGCAUGCCUGUUCGAGCGUCAUUUCAACCCUCGAGCCCCCCCGGGGGCCUCGGUGUUGGGGGACGGCACACCAGCCGCCCCCGAAAUGCAGUGGCGACCCCGCCGCAGCCUCCCCUGCGUAGUAGCACACACCUCGCACCGGAGCGCGGAGGCGGUCACGCCGUAAAACGCCCAACUUUCUUAGAGUUGACCUCGGAUCAGGUAGGAAUACCCGCUGAACUUAAGCAUAUCAAUAAGCGGAGGA